rnacentral:lncRNA from 1 species
UUCUCUUCUCUGCUGCCGUCUGAGGUGCGCGUUUCACCUUCCGCCGUGAUUGUGAGGCCUCCCCAGCCACGUGGAACUUUGGAUCUGCCUGCCGUCAAGACUCACCACUUCCCACCUGUACACUGCUGUCUGUCCUCAUUUCAAGUGAAUCACCUUGCGGUCUUCUUAUGCCAGGUUCAGAGCUCAUGCCAGACGCUGUGGAAGGAUUGUUUUUUGACUCUCUAAUACUGUGGAAGAAAAAGAGAUCUUCCAGAUAUCAGAGUUCUCCUGACAGCUGAAGAAGUGAUGGAUGAGCUGGGGUCUCAAUUCAUCAG